AUGGCUCAGUAGUAAGGGCACCUGCCUAACAAGUAUGAGGCCCUGGGUUCAAAUCCCAGU
rnacentral:tRNA from 1 species